rnacentral:rRNA from 1 species
UACAGAGGUCUCAAGCGUUGUUCGGAUUCAUUGGGCGUAAAGGGAGCGUAGGUGGCGUCGUAAGUCAGGUGUGAAAUCUCGGGGCUCAACCCCGAAACUGCACCCGAUACUGCGAUGCUAGAGUACUGGAGAGGAGAUUGGAAUUUACGGUGUAGCAGUGAAAUGCGUAGAUAUCGUAAGGAAGACCAGUGGCGAAGGCGAAUCUCUGGACAGUUACUGACACUGAGGCUACGAAGGCCAGGGGAGACAAACGGG